rnacentral:rRNA from 1 species
UUAAGCGACUAAGCGUACACGGUGGAUGCCCUGGCAGUCAGAGGCGAUGAAGGACGUGCUAAUCUGCGAUAAGCGUCGGUAAGGUGAUAUGAACCGUUAUAACCGGCGAUUUCCGAAUGGGGAAACCCAGUGUGUUUCGACACACUAUCAUUAACUGAAUCCAUAGGUUAAUGAGGCGAACCGGGGGAACUGAAACAUCUAAGUACCCCGAGGAAAAGAAAUCAACCGAGAUUCCCCCAGUAGCGGCGAGCGAACGGGGAGCAGCCCAGAGCCUGAAUCAGUGUGUGUGUUAGUGGAAGCGUCUGGAAAGGCGCGCGAUACAGGGUGACAGCCCCGUACACAAAAAUGCACAUGCUGUGAGCUCGAUGAGUAGGGCGGGACACGUGGUAUCCUGUCUGAAUAUGGGGGGACCAUCCUCCAAGGCUAAAUACUCCUGACUGACCGAUAGUGAACCAGUACCGUGAGGGAAAGGCGAAAAGAACCCCGGCGAGGGGAGUGAAAAAGAACCUGAAACCGUGUACGUACAAGCAGUGGGAGCACGCUUAGGCGUGUGACUGCGUACCUUUUGUAUAAUGGGUCAGCGACUUAUAUUCUGUAGCAAGGUUAACCGAAUAGGGGAGCCGAAGGGAAACCGAGUCUUAACUGGGCGUUAAGUUGCAGGGUAUAGACCCGAAACCCGGUGAUCUAGCCAUGGGCAGGUUGAAGGUUGGGUAACACUAACUGGAGGACCGAACCGACUAAUGUUGAAAAAUUAGCGGAUGACUUGUGGCUGGGGGUGAAAGGCCAAUCAAACCGGGAGAUAGCUGGUUCUCCCCGAAAGCUAUUUAGGUAGCGCCUCGUGAAUUCAUCUCCGGGGGUAGAGCACUGUUUCGGCAAGGGGGUCAUCCCGACUUACCAACCCGAUGCAAACUGCGAAUACCGGAGAAUGUUAUCACGGGAGACACACGGCGGGUGCUAACGUCCGUCGUGAAGAGGGAAACAACCCAGACCGCCAGCUAAGGUCCCAAAGUCAUGGUUAAGUGGGAAACGAUGUGGGAAGGCCCAGACAGCCAGGAUGUUGGCUUAGAAGCAGCCAUCAUUUAAAGAAAGCGUAAUAGCUCACUGGUCGAGUCGGCCUGCGCGGAAGAUGUAACGGGGCUAAACCAUGCACCGAAGCUGCGGCAGCGACGCUUAUGCGUUGUUGGGUAGGGGAGCGUUCUGUAAGCCUGCGAAGGUGUGCUGUGAGGCAUGCUGGAGGUAUCAGAAGUGCGAAUGCUGACAUAAGUAACGAUAAAGCGGGUGAAAAGCCCGCUCGCCGGAAGACCAAGGGUUCCUGUCCAACGUUAAUCGGGGCAGGGUGAGUCGACCCCUAAGGCGAGGCCGAAAGGCGUAGUCGAUGGGAAACAGGUUAAUAUUCCUGUACUUGGUGUUACUGCGAAGGGGGGACGGAGAAGGCUAUGUUGGCCGGGCGACGGUUGUCCCGGUUUAAGCGUGUAGGCUGGUUUUCCAGGCAAAUCCGGAAAAUCAAGGCUGAGGCGUGAUGACGAGGCACUACGGUGCUGAAGCAACAAAUGCCCUGCUUCCAGGAAAAGCCUCUAAGCAUCAGGUAACAUCAAAUCGUACCCCAAACCGACACAGGUGGUCAGGUAGAGAAUACCAAGGCGCUUGAGAGAACUCGGGUGAAGGAACUAGGCAAAAUGGUGCCGUAACUUCGGGAGAAGGCACGCUGAUAUGUAGGUGAAGCGACUUGCUCGUGGAGCUGAAAUCAGUCGAAGAUACCAGCUGGCUGCAACUGUUUAUUAAAAACACAGCACUGUGCAAACACGAAAGUGGACGUAUACGGUGUGACGCCUGCCCGGUGCCGGAAGGUUAAUUGAUGGGGUUAGCGCAAGCGAAGCUCUUGAUCGAAGCCCCGGUAAACGGCGGCCGUAACUAUAACGGUCCUAAGGUAGCGAAAUUCCUUGUCGGGUAAGUUCCGACCUGCACGAAUGGCGUAAUGAUGGCCAGGCUGUCUCCACCCGAGACUCAGUGAAAUUGAACUCGCUGUGAAGAUGCAGUGUACCCGCGGCAAGACGGAAAGACCCCGUGAACCUUUACUAUAGCUUGACACUGAACAUUGAGCCUUGAUGUGUAGGAUAGGUGGGAGGCUUUGAAGUGUGGACGCCAGUCUGCAUGGAGCCGACCUUGAAAUACCACCCUUUAAUGUUUGAUGUUCUAACGUUGACCCGUAAUCCGGGUUGCGGACAGUGUCUGGUGGGUAGUUUGACUGGGGCGGUCUCCUCCUAAAGAGUAACGGAGGAGCACGAAGGUUGGCUAAUCCUGGUCGGACAUCAGGAGGUUAGUGCAAUGGCAUAAGCCAGCUUGACUGCGAGCGUGACGGCGCGAGCAGGUGCGAAAGCAGGUCAUAGUGAUCCGGUGGUUCUGAAUGGAAGGGCCAUCGCUCAACGGAUAAAAGGUACUCCGGGGAUAACAGGCUGAUACCGCCCAAGAGUUCAUAUCGACGGCGGUGUUUGGCACCUCGAUGUCGGCUCAUCACAUCCUGGGGCUGAAGCCGGUCCCAAGGGUAUGGCUGUUCGCCAUUUAAAGUGGUACGCGAGCUGGGUUUAGAACGUCGUGAGACAGUUCGGUCCCUAUCUGCCGUGGGCGCUGGAGAACUGAGGGGGGCUGCUCCUAGUACGAGAGGACCGGAGUGGACGCAUCACUGGUGUUCGGGUUGUCAUGCCAAUGGCACUGCCCGGUAGCUAAAUGCGGAAGAGAUAAGUGCUGAAAGCAUCUAAGCACGAAACUUGCCCCGAGAUGAGUUCUCCCUGACUCCUUGAGAGUCCUGAAGGAACGUUGAAGACGACGACGUUGAUAGGCCGGGUGUGUAAGCGCAGCGAUGCGUUGAGCUAACCGGUACUAAUGAACCGUGAGGCUUAACCUU